rnacentral:rRNA from 1 species
UACGGGAGGCAGCAGUGGGGAAUAUUGCACAAUGGGCGAAAGCCUGAUGCAGCUAUGCCGCGUGUAUGAAGAAGGCCUUAGGGUUGUAAAGUACUUUCAUCGGGGAGGAAAACAAAACUAAUAAUUUUAUUUCUUGACGUUACCCGAAAAAGAAGCACCGGCUAACUCCGUGCCAGCAGCCGCGGUAAUACGGAGGGUGCUAGCGUUAAUCAGAAUUACUGGGCGUAAAGAGCACGUAGGUGGUUUUUUUAAAGUCAGAUGUGAAAUCCCUGGGCUUAACCUAGGAACUGCAUUUUGAAACUGAAAUACUAGAGUAUCGUAGAGGGAGGUAGAAUUCUAGGUGUAGCGGUGAAAUGCGUAGAUAUCUGGAGGAAUACCUGUGGCGAAAGCGGCCUCCUAAACGAAUACUGACACUGAGGUGCGAAAGCGUGGGGAGCAAACAGGGAUUAGAUACC